rnacentral:lncRNA from 1 species
AAUGUAACAAUAUAUUUAACACCAAGAAGAUUUACAAGCCUGAUCAGCACAUACAGAGAACUGUAUAUCGUCAGGUGGACUGUUAAUCAACUCACAUAUACACCUAGCUGAUGAUCACCACAUAGUAGUUUAGUAGCUACAACCAGCACUGGCAGACAACCAACAUGGUGCUCAGUAGAACACCUCAUCACCACUGUUCCUGCAUACAGUAGCUCCAGGCACGAAGUAAGUCAGAGAACCUGAUGUCCUUCCUCAACUCUGACCCAUCUCGAUCACAGCCUAACCAUGCCCACACAGCUGUCUUAAUCGCAAUCCCAAUCUUAGACACACUAUGGUUGUUUCCCUGAAAAAUUACUUCAUUUCUCGCUCGCCAGACACACCACAAUACUGCAUACGGCAAAAUAUUCCAAAUCUUACCUUUGACACCCUGUGCAUUCAAGGCUGGCCACCAGUUCAACAGCUGUUGUGGAGUCUCCACAGUGUGAAAUUCAGCGCAAGCUCUAGCACAAACCGAAAUUAGAUCCUGCCAAAUCUCCUUAGUGACUGUACAUGUAAAGAAGAGGUGUCUUGUGGACUCAGCAUCACAUUUACAUAACUCACAUCUGUUUGUCAAGACCAUGCCCCUUCUUUGGAGUUUGUCAAUUGUCAAAGUUUUAUCCCACAUCAAACUCCAUACGAAAAAUUUGACGUUCAUAGGCACCUUCGGUUCCCAAACUGCUUUAUAAGGAAACUCAUAUGGUUCGGAAGAUCGCCUUCGACCAAUGUUCACUAGGCUUGAAUAACAAGACUUCACUGAAAAAACAUUGUCCCCCGACAAGAUCCAAUCCCAACCAUCCUCCUCAUCAUUCAGAGAAACACCCUCGAGAAGAUCCCUAAGAUGAUCCAAUUGAGUAAUUUCAUUCCCACGGAAGCGUGACCUCCUCAAAUGGAGCUCCCAAGUCCCCUCAACACCACAAUGAUCUUUCACCGUACCAUCCUUCAUAGAAGCAUACUUGUAUAACCUAUGGAACCUCCUUGAAAAGAUGGUAUCACCUAGCCACUUAUCAUGCCAAAAUCGAGUCUUAUCCCCUUUGUUGACCACAUGCCUGAUGUUUUCAAAAAACUCCUCUUGCACAACUUGGAUCCCACGCCAGAGACUACACCCAUAAGGUUGAGACACCUUCCUCGGUUUACCACUAUUAUCACUCUCGCCAUACUUAGCCUCAAUGACUCUUCUCCAAAGUGCAGAUUUUUCCUGCCCGUAUCUCCAUAUCCAUUUUGAAAGGAGUGCUUGGUUCAUGGUCCUCAAAUCACGAAUGCCCAAACCACCCUCUUGCACGGGAGAACAUACUGUAUCCCAAGCCACAAGGUGCAUUUUCUUCUUAUUCUCACUAGAGCCCCAGAGAAAAUUCCUUACUAUCCGCUCAAGUUUCUCGGCAAUGCUUGAAGGGAUAGUGAAGAGGGACAAAUGAUAGAUGGCAAGACCCGCCAAAGUACUUUUGGCAAGAAGUAGUCGAUCACCCUUGGACAUAAGUUUUUGCUUCCACCCACUCAGCUUCUUUUGAUACGACUCAAUUACCGAGCUCCACACAUCCACAUUCUUAUAAUGUGCCCCUAAAAACUAGUUAUAAUGUGCCCCUAAAAACUAGUUGUAAUGAUGAGAUUUCAAGAAAAAAUAUAUUAAAUAAAAACUAGUGAUGUCGUGGUUAAUUAUUGGAUAAUAUUUAAAUGAAGACUAGUGAUUUAGUGAAACCUGAAGAUAAGAACCAAGGUAUGAAUACAGAUUGGCUACAGUUUUCAACUUUCCAGUGUGCUCAUAUAGCAGAUGACCUUUAUAACAUGUAUUUAGUUUAUGUUUCUAUCCAAGGAAGAUAUCCCCCAAAUUUCUUAGAUCCUAGUUUGUAUAAUGACUGUAUUAGUGUCUGUAUGCCUCAGUUUUAGCAAGUAAUUAAUAAAGAUUAGUUUUUCACCAAAAAAAAAAAAACGACACUCCAACUGUCGUGCAAUUGCUUGAGAAUUGAUAGCAUGGCAUUCCAAAUACCGUCCGGUUCUUUUUUUUUUUAUUGACAAACGGGGUUGAGGGGACCUCGGCCUACCUCUUUAAAUUACGUGUAGAAACUUAUACCAACAAUCAUUUAUUAGUGUGUUUCGAACCUGUUGAAUUAAUGAAGGCCGGGAUCAAGGAGCCGGAGGAUCAUCUAAAAGACCUAGAAAAAACCUUUCAAACAUUGCGGCAAUUCAACAUGAAGCUCAAUCCAGAAAAGUGCACGUUUGGGGUACAGUCGGGAAAAUUCCUUGGUUACAUUGUGACAAAGAGGGGGAUAGAGGUUAGUCAGGAGCAGAUCAGGGCACUCACAGAUAUGGCGUCACCAAGGACACAGAAAGAAGUACAGGUGCUUGCUGGUCGGAUUACGGCAUUGGGAAGGUUCAUAUCAAGAUCUACAGAUAAAUGCAAGCCAAUUCUGAAGCUCUUGAAAAAGAAUUUAUCCUUUACCUGGAAUGAUGAAUGCGAAGAAGCUUUCCAGAAAUUGAAAGAAUACCUUAGUAAGCCACCAGUUCUAUCAAAGCCGUCACCAGGGGAGACACUCUAUGUUUAUCUGGCAGUAUCGAACAUCGCAGUGAGUGCAGUCCUAACUCGAAGAGAGGCAUCGAAGGAGAGUCCAGUUUAUUUCCUCAGCAAAAAGAUGACUUCACCAGAGACAAGGUAUUCAAGAGUGGAAAAGUAUGCCCUCGCCUUACUCUUCGCAGCUCAAAGAUUAAGGCCUUAUUUUGAAGCCUAUAGUCUGACAGUGGUUUCAAACCUCCCGCUCAAUCAAGUGAUGCCAAAAAUCGAGCGUUCUGGGAGAAUGGAAAAAUGGGCAGUUUCAUUAAGUAAAUAUCACAUCCAGUAUGAACCUAAGAAGGCGGAAAAAUCACAAGUGAUAGCGGAUUUCUUGGCAGACUUCCCAGUGGAGGAUAUAGCCGAGGAUGCAGAAAUGCAGGAGGAAGAGCAACUGGAGUCUUUAGAAACUCAAGAUACCGGCUGGAAGAAUGUAAAAGGAUGGAAGGUAUUCACAGACGGAUAAGUAAAUAAAGGAAGAUCAGCAAUCGGGAUAGUAGUGGUAACGCCAGAAGACACUAAGAUUGAGAUAGCAGAAAACUUAACUUUUUCGGCUACCAAUAAUGAGACAGAGUACGAGGCAGUACUGAAAGGCCUGGAAGUGUUGAUGAAAUUAGAGGCAAAGAAAGUGACGGUUUUCACGGACUCAAAGUUGGUGGUAGAACAGUUCCAUGGAACAUAUAGAGCUCAAACCGGGAAAAUGAUGCAGUACUUGGACGCGUUGAGGAGAAGUGUGGCAAAAUUCUCAAAGGUGGAGAUUGUACAUCUGUUUAGGGGAGAGAACCGGCAUGCUGAUGCAUUGGCUUACCUGGCAACGGCAACAGAAGAGAGUUCAACCAAAACUAUAACGUUCAUGCAGAGAUCUCAGCCAAUGAUAGAGGUUAAGGAACCGACUGUCAGCCUCAUUCAGAGCUUGGGAGCAAGCUGGAUGGACCCAAUUGUAGCCUACUUAAAAGAUGGUUCUCUUCCGGAAGAGAAAGCAGGAGCUAGAUCUAUUAUUGAGCAAUCCAAAAGGUAUGCAAUGAUAGGAGCAGACCUAUAUAGGCGAUCACCAACUGGACCAUUAUUAAAGUGUGUACACCCAUCCCAAGUAGAAGGAGUCAUGGCGGAGUGUCACAGUGGAAGUUGCGGAAGUCAUUCACCAGGACGAGCCAUGGCACACAGAAUAAUGAUACAUGGGCAUUACUGGCCAAGUAUGUACAAAGAUUGUUGUGACUAUGCUAAGAAGUGUCAUGGUUGUCAGAUUCAUGGGAGAUUGAUACACACACCAGCUGAGAACCUUCACUAUAUCAGUAAUCCGUGGCCCUUCUCAAUGUGGGGAAUUGAUAUUGUGGGAAAGCUGCAGAAGUCACAGGGAAGAGAAUAUCUAAUAGUGGCCUCAGAUUACUUUACGAAAUGGAUUGAGGCAGAACCGUUAAGAAGGAUCAGAGAGGUAGAUGUUAAAGAUUUUAUCUGGACCAACAUCAUCUGUAGGUUUGGGUUACCAAGAGCUAUAGUGGCAGAUAACGGUGCUCAAUUCCGUGGAGAUGAAUUGAAGCAGUUCCUGGCAAGUUAUAACAUUAAGCAACUCUUUGCAACACCAUUCCAUCCGCAAGGAAAUGGGCAGGCGGAAGCAUCAAACAAAGCCAUACUGGAGGUAUUGAAAAAGAAGCUCGAGGAGAAGAAAGAAAAAUGGUAUGAAAAUCUUUGGGAAGUGCUAUGGGCCUACCGGACGACACCCAGAAGAUCUACAGGAGCGACUCCGUUUUCUUUAACCUAUGGCAUGGAAGCUGUUAUCCCUCAAGAAAUGUUGGUACAUACGGCAAGAAGGAUGGUAGUCGACUUGGGAAAGAAUAAUGAGGUAAUAGAAAGAGAAUUGGUCUUAGCAGAAGAGGUCCGUGAACGCGCCAAGCUUAAAUUGGAAAAUUAUCACCGGCAACUAGAGAGGACUUACAAUAAAAAAGUCAAGCUGAGAAGUCUUGUCCCAGGGGAUCUCGUGCUAAGAAAGCAGAAUCCGCCUCCAGCCAAGCUAGAGCCAAAUUGGGAAGGGCCUUUUGUAGUAGACAAGGCGGGAACAAAUGGAGCAUAUUACUUGACCUAUCAAGAUGGUACCCCUCUUGACAAGCCGUGGAGUAUCAGCAAUUUGAAGAAAUACUAUGCCUAGAAGGCAGAGAUGUAUCAGGUCAACAAGACAGUAGGCGUUGUUCGCUGAAAAAGUUAAAAGUAUGUAGCUAUGUUUAAAUUUCAAUGAAAAUAUAAGAGUUUGUUUUUAUUAAUUUAUCCAGUUAUAUAUAUAUCAAGCUUGUUUGAGACCAGGCCAAAGGUCAGGCAGGGUAGAAAUCCAAUUAAGAUUGGUGAGAAAUAACAUAAGUGCAGACUUGGCAGGGCAAGCCGUUAACUAAAUGUUAAAGUCUCUAUAUGAUUAUUUUCUUCCUCAUUGAGCUUGAUUUAGACAAUACAAUGGGGUGCCUCUAAGAGAGAAGAGCAAUAGUGCUAAUGUGUUGACGGGGAUACGCUUGCUGUACCGUGACGACGGUAUCAGUAGAAGUACAUCCUAAUGUUAGCACAUGAGAAACCAGUAAAAGAAGAUAGCAUUAAUUGAUAAUAAUUGUAAAAGCUUCAAAUCAAAGUAAAAGUUUGCAACUGCGAAAGAGUAUCACGGGUAGAGCACGUGAUAUCUAGCUGUCAAGCAUUCACUCUUGAGGAUGUGGUGGAGAAUUGAACACGUAGGAGAAGGGAGAACCGUGGGAUGCAUAGAAGGAUCCUACGGAUGAAGGAAGGCGGUGGAUAUUGCUAUAAAAAGAUCGCGUUAGGGUUCGCUAAAGGUAACUGUUCAUUCUUGCUAAAACCUAUUUCCAAAACCUAGCCGCUUACUGACUUGAUCGUUGGAGCUUCUUCCACCGGUCAUUGUCCGGUGGUUUUUGCAGGUACUACCGGAGAAGCAGCCAACAAGCUCAACUAAGCUCGUCAAGGAAGGGCUUACAGAACCCACGACCUCUCCAUUUUGUGAGAGGGGUGCUACCAUUGAGCCACUUUUAAGGUGGCCUCCAAGGUGUGCUUUCCCACCUUGGUGUCCACCUUUUGGUGGCCUCUCCCACCUCUCAUUGGGAAACUAAAACUAGAGCUUGGAGUGGAAUUAUCCACCACACCCCCCAUUGGGAAUGCCCUAUGACACGCCCCCCAAAAACCUAUAACCCCAAAUCAAAGAGGAAAAAGAGUUGUGGAAUGGAAGAGAAGGGGGGGAACGAAGUGAACAACGAUGAUAACAAGAAUGUUGAAGAAAACGAUUCUUUAAUGUUUCUUGUAAUGAAAAUUCUUUGAGAAUAUCUUAAAAAACAUUGGAAGGAUCUGCUAGAAGAAAGUGAAAGAAAUUAUAUGUUUUACUACAAUGAUCAAUUCAACUACAAUGUGGUAGGAAUUAGGAUGUAGAUGGUAAAGGCUUGAGCAAUUACAUAAGGCACUUCAAAAGCAUAUGUUUCACCAUCUUCCAUUUCAUAUCGUUACACUGACAGGAAAAAACACUAGAACAACCUCUCAUACAUGAAAAAAAACUCUUCUACAACCGUUUAAUCUGUUGUGAUUUUUCAGUAUGAGUUUGUGGGAGCAAUAAAAAUUAGCCACAUGUUUAUAAAAUUAGGAAAAAAAAAAACUUGAUUAAAUCCCACUUGGUUAACCACACUAAUAUGUGGCAGUGUUUUAUUUGUCUCACAAAUCCCAUGCCAAAAAAUCACCACAGAUAAAAAUCUUUGUUGUUGAAAUCCAUUUCUCAUAAGAGCGUCGCCUAUGGGCACAAUCUAUAUGUAGGAUGUAGAUUGUAAAGGCUUGAGCGAUUACAGAAGGCACUUCAAAUGCAUAUGUUUCAUCAUCAUCCAUUUCAUAUUGCUACAGUGUUGUUUGUUUUUUUGUCUAGUAGCUUAUAGCUUAUAAGCUACUAGCUAUAACCUUGGGGAUGGAGCUUAUAGUAACCGCCAUCUUUUUAGCCAAUUUCUACUAGAAAAGUUUAUAAGACCUUAACUAGAAGUAAAAACAAACAUACAUUUGAGUUUUCUUAUAGCUUAUAAGCUAUUAGAACUAGUAUAACUGAAAAAACAAACAACACCUAAGCAGGAAAAAAAAACACUAGAACAACCUCCAUACACAAAAAAAAACCCCUUCUACAAUAGUUUUAUAUGGUCUUUCCCCAAAUUUCCGAAAAAUAAACGGUUUUAAAUAGCUUCUCAAAAAUCAUUUGGUUUGUUAUCCCUCUCAAACAUUCCCAUCAACAGUGAUUCAAAAAAUUUCUCAUGUAUUUCUUAGGUGGGUUAGCCUUUUUUUUUUUUUGAUCAAUGUAGCAAUAUAUUUAACACCAAGAAGAUUUACAGGCCUGAACAGCACAUACAGAGAACUGUAUAUCGUCAGGUGGACUGUUAAUCAAACUCACAUAUACACCUAGCUGUUGAUCAGCACAUAGUAGUUUAGUAGCUACAAUCGGCACUGGCAACCAACCGACAUGGUGCUCAGUAGAACACCUCAUCACCACUGUUCCUGCAUACAGUAGCUCCAGUCACGAAGUAAGUCAGAGAACCUGAUGUCCUUCCUCAACUCUGACCCAUCUCGAUCACAGCCUAACCAUGCCCACACAGUUGCUUUAAUCGCAAUCCCAAUCUU